UACGGAGGGUGCGAGCGUUGUCCGGAAUCACUGGGCGUAAAGGGUGCGUAGGCGGCGCGGUAAGUCGGGUGUGAAAUCUCGGAGCUUAACUCCGAAACUGCAUUCGAUACUGCCGUGCUUGAGGACUGGAGAGAAGACUGGAAUUUACGGUGUAGCGGUGAAAUGCGUAGAUAUCGUAAGGAAGACCAGUGGCGAAGGCGGGUCUCUGGACAGUUCCUGACGCUGAGGCACGAAGGUCAGGGGAGCAAACGGG
rnacentral:rRNA from 1 species